rnacentral:rRNA from 1 species
CCUACGGGGGGCAGCAGUCGAGAAUUUUUCUCAAUGGGCGAAAGCCUGAAGGAGCGACGCCGCGUGGAGGAUGAAGGCUUUCGGGUUGUAAACUCCUGUCAUUUGAGAACUAGUAUCAGAAGAGGAAGGGACGGCUAACUCUGUGCCAGCAGCCGCGGUAAUACAGAGGUCCCAAGCGUUGUUCGGAUUCAUUGGGCGUAAAGGGUGCGUAGGUGGCGCCGUAAGUCGGGUGUGAAAUUUCGGAGCUUAACUCCGAAACUGCAUUCGAUACUGCGGUGCUUGAGGACUGGAGAGGAGACUGGAAUUCAUGGUGUAGCAGUGAAAUGCGUAGAGAUCAUGAGGAAGACCAGUGGCGAAGGCGGGUCUCUGGACAGUCCUGACACUGAGGCACGAAGGCCAGGGGAGCAAACGGGAUUAGAUACCCUUGUAGUC